AUUUCUAUCGCUUUCGUAAUCUAUACUAGUUUAUCCUAUGCAAUAUUUUGUACUGACGUCCGCUUCGCUUUUCGUGACUUUUCAAUUAGAAAGUAAUUUAUGUAUUUAGUGUAAUCUAGAAAUUUAGAAGCUUUUGAAUUUUCUGAACGUUUUGUGCAUGUUCCUACUUCAAUUAGAGAACGCCCGGUUUCUAAGAAAUACUUUUUGUGAUUGAUUUUCCAGUUAAAUACAUAUAUAGACUAUAACUAAAAACUGGGGAAUAUAUAUUUAAUAACUAUACAAGAAACUACUGAAAGUCAAGCUUUAACGAUUUAACUAUUGUUUGUAACUAGGACAGUUUGACAAUGAGCCAAAUGUGUGUUGAAAAGUAUUUCUAAUAACUUUUGUGGUUGAUAUUCUAGGUAAACGCACAUAUAGACUAUAACUAAAAACUGAGGGAUAUAUAUUUAAUAAUUAUAAAGGAAACUAGUCAAUGUUUAUAGUCAAGCUUUAAUAAUUCCGUGCAGCACGGAAUUUUGUCAGUGAACAGGUCGCGGUCUCAAAGCGACGAAAAUAUUUUGCCAAAUUAAAUAUAAAUGUUGAAGUGAAUCUAACGAGUUCUGUGUUUUUAAAUUGCUUAUAAACACCUUCCACGCUGCAAUAUUAAAGUUGAAAAUGGAAAAUUUCAGCAAGCAUGGAACAUGAUAUUCCGACGGCAGUAAUUCUUGUAGCAUUCAAGGAAAGACCCGACCGAAAUGGUUAUAUAUGACCAAAUGUGACCGAAGGUGUUAUGACUUCCCCACUGUAGCUAUGAUUUUUAGGAAUACAAAC